rnacentral:rRNA from 1 species
CGGCGGACGGGUGAGUAACGCGUGGGUAACCUGCCUUACACUGGGGGAUAACAGUUAGAAAUGGCUGCUAAUACCGCAUAAGCAUACAGUGCCGCAUGGCACGGUGUGAAAAACUCCGGUGGUGUAAGAUGGACCCGCGUCUGAUUAGCUAGUUGGUAGGGUAACGGCCUACCAAGGCGACGAUCAGUAGCCGACCUGAGAGGGUGACCGGCCACAUUGGGACUGAGACACGGCCCAA